rnacentral:rRNA from 1 species
AAUCUUGGACAAUGGGGGCAACACUGAUCCAGCAAUGCCGCGUGUGUGAAGAAGGCCUUUUGGUUGUAAAGCACUUUAAGCGAGGAGGAGGCUACUUAGAUUAAUACUCUCGGAUAGUGGACGUUACUCGAAGAAUAAGCAUCGUCUAAACCUAUGCCAGCACCCGAGGUAAUACAGAGGGUGCAAGAGUUAAUCGGAUUUACUGGGCGUAAAGCGCGCGUAGGUGGCCAAUUAAGUCAAAUGUGAAAUCCCCGAGCUUAACUUGGGAAUUGCAUUCGAUACUGGUUGGCUAGAGUAUGGGAGAGGAUGGUAGAAUUCCAGGUGUAGCGGUGAAAUGCGUAGAGAUCUGGAGGAAUACCGAUGGCGAAGGCAGCCAUCUGGCCUAAUACUGACACUGAGGUGCGAAAGCAUGGGGAGCAAACAG